rnacentral:rRNA from 1 species
AACGAACGCUGGCGGCAUGCCUAACACAUGCAAGUCGAACGAGACCUUCGGGUCUAGUGGCGCACGGGUGCGUAACGCGUGGGAACCUGCCCUUAGGUUCGGAAUAACUCCCCGAAAGGGGUGCUAAUACCGGAUAAUGUCUUCGGACCAAAGAUUUAUCGCCUUUGGAUGGGCCCGCGUUGGAUUAGCUAGUUGGUAGGGUAAAAGCCUACCAAGGCGACGAUCCAUAGCUGGUCUGAGAGGAUGAUCAGCCACACUGGGACUGAGACACGGCCCAGACUACGGGGGGGGGGAGGAGUGGGAAAAAUGAAGAAGGGGGGGAAGGACUGAUGAAGAAAUGGGGGGAGGGGGGUUAGGGUAGAAUGGUUGAAAAGGUGGUUAAAGAGGGAUAAAAAGGACAGAACGGGAGAAAUAGGCUCGGGCGAAGGCGAAGCCAGCACCGGGGGUAAAAGUCGCAGAGCAAGCGAAUAAAC